GAUGAACGCUGGCGGCGUGCCUAAUACAUGCCAGUCGAGCGAACAGAUAAGGAGCUUGUUCCUUUGACGUUAGCGGCGGACGGGUGAGUAACACGUGGGUAACCUACCUAUAAGACUGGAAUAACUCCGGGAAACCGGGGCUAAUGCCGGAUAACAUUUAGAACCGCAUGGUUCUAAAGUGAAAGAUGGUUUUGCUAUCACUUAUAGAUGGACCCGCGCCGUAUUAGCUAGUUGGUAAGGUAACGGCUUACCAAGGCAACGAUACGUAGCCGACCUGAGAGGGUGAUCGGCCACACUGGAACUGAGACACGGUCCAGACUCCUAAGGGAGGCAGCAGUAGGGAAUCUUCCGCAAUGGGCGAAAGCCUGACGGAGCAACGCCGCGUGAGUGAUGAAGGUCUUCGGAUCGUAAAACUCUGUUAUUAGGGAAGAACAAAUGUGUAAGUAACUGUGCACGUCUUGACGGUACCUAAUCAGAAAGCCACGGCUAACUACGUG
rnacentral:rRNA from 1 species